GAGUUUGAUCCUGGCUCAGGAUGAACGCCCUUUGGCGUGCUUAACACAUGCAAGUCGAACGGGAAUGCCGCGCUGAUGCGAUUUCGGUCAAAUCAUGUGGCAUUCGAGUGGCGGACGGGUGAGUAACGCGUGGGUAACCUGCCUUACACAGGGGGAUAACACCUGGAAACAGGUGCUAAUACCGCAUAAGCGCACAGGGCCGCAUGGCCCGGUGUGAAAAACUCCGGUGGUGUAAGAUGGACCCGCGUCUGAUUAGCUUGUUGGCGGGGUAGGGGCCCACCAAGGCGACGAUCAGUAGCCGGCCUGAGAGGGUGGACGGCCACAUUGGGACUGAGACACGGCCCAAACUCCUACGGGAGGCAGCAGUGGGGGAUAUUGGACAAUGGGGGAAACCCUGAUCCAGCGACGCCGCGUGAGUGAAGAAGUAUUUCGGUAUGUAAAGCUCUGUCAGCAGGGAAGAAAGAAAUGACGGUACCUGACCAAGAAGCCCCGGCUAACUACGUGCCAGCAGCCGCGGUAAUACGUAGGGGGCAAGCGUUAUCCGGAAUUACUGGGUGUAAAGGGAGCGUAGACGGUGAUGCAAGUCUGGAGUGAAAGGCGGGGGCCCAACCCCCGGACUGCUCUGGAAACUGUGUAACUUGAGUGCAGGAGAGGUAAGCGGAAUUCCUAGUGUAGCGGUGAAAUGCGUAGAUAUUAGGAGGAACACCAGUGGCGAAGGCGGCUUACUGGACUGUAACUGACGUUGAGGCUCGAAAGCGUGGGGAGCAAACAGGAUUAGAUACCCUGGUAGUCCACGCCGUAAACGAUGAUUACUAGGUGUCGGUGGGUAU
rnacentral:rRNA from 1 species